rnacentral:rRNA from 1 species
GCAGUCGAACGAUGAAGCCCUUCGGGGUGGAUUAGUGGCGAACGGGUGAGUAACACGUGGGCAAUCUGCCCUGCACUCUGGGACAAGCCCUGGAAACGGGGUCUAAUACCGGAUACGAGCUUCCCGGGCAUCUGGGAGGUUGGAAAGCUCCGGCGGUGCAGGAUGAGCCCGCGGCCUAUCAGCUUGUUGGUGAGGUAACGGCUCACCAAGGCGACGACGGGUAGCCGGCCUGAGAGGGCGACCGGCCACACUGGGACUGAGACACGGCCCAGACUCCUACGGGAGGCAGCAGUGGGGAAUAUUGCACAAUGGGCGCAAGCCUGAUGCAGCGACGCCGCGUGAGGGAUGACGGCCUUCGGGUUGUAAACCUCUUUCAGCAGGGAAGAAGCGCAAGUGACGGUACCUGCAGAAGAAGCGCCGGCUAACUACGUGCCAGCAGCCGGGGGUAAUUCA